rnacentral:rRNA from 1 species
UGCAGUCGAGCGGUAGAGAGAAGCUUGCUUCUCUUGAGAGCGGCGGACGGGUGAGUAAUGCCUAGGAAUCUGCCUGGUAGUGGGGGAUAACGUUCGGAAACGGACGCUAAUACCGCAUACGUCCUACGGGAGAAAGCAGGGGACCUUCGGGCCUUGCGCUAUCAGAUGAGCCUAGGUCGGAUUAGCUAGUUGGUGGGGUAAUGGCUCACCAAGGCGACGAUCCGUAACUGGUCUGAGAGGAUGAUCAGUCACACUGGAACUGAGACACGGUCCACACUCCUACGGGAGGCAGCAGUGGGGAAUAUUGGACAAUGGGCGAAAGCCUGAUCCAGCCAUGCCGCGUGUGUGAAGAAGGUCUUCGGAUUGUAAAGCACUUUAAGUUGGGAGGAAGGGUUGUAGA